rnacentral:rRNA from 1 species
GAUGAACGCUAGCGGGAGGCCUAACACAUGCAAGCCGGGCGGUAUUGUUUCUUCGGAAAUGAGAGAGCGGCGUACGGGUGCGGAACACGUGUGUAACCUGCCUUUAUCUGGGGGAUAGCCUUUCGAAAGGAAGAUUAAUACUCCAUAAUAUAUUGAACGGCAUCGUUUAAUAUUGAAAGCUCCGGCGGAUAGAGAUGGGCACGCGCAAGAUUAGCUAGUUGGUGAGGUAACGGCUAACCAAGGCGAUGAUCUUUAGGGGGCCUGAGCGGGUGAUCCCCCACAAUGGUAAUGAGACACGGACCAGACUCCUACGGGAGGCAGCAUUGAGGAAUUUUGGUCAAUGGGUGCAAGCCUGAACCAGCCAUCCCGCGUGAAGGACGACUGCCCUAUGGGUUGUAAACUUCUUUUGUAUAGGGAUAAACCUACCCUCGUGAGGGUAGCUGAAGGUACUAUACGAAUAAGCACCGGCUAACUCCGUGCCAGCAGCCGCCGUAAUAC